GUGUAGGUUUUUUGUUUAAUUAUUGUGAUAUUCAUGAGUCUUAGAUUUGCAUGUGUGAGAGUUGCAGUUUUUUUGUAUAAUUCUAACAGACAACAAAAGGUGAAAAGAUAUAUAGCGUUGAUGUAGCUGCUAUAGCUGAUGCCGCAACUGGAAAAGAGGGAGAAGAAAAGGUCAAGCUCCACACACUCUUACUGUUGUCUAGAUUAUGCACAGAUAUAAGAUCUGGUUAGAUACAAACUACAUUGCAUGAAGCAUAACUGAAAGAUGAACCGGAGAACAAAAACACUAUUCAGAAAUACAUAUACAUAAACUGUGGAAAAAAGGUACAAUGCUUUGGAUGCACUGCGGUUAAUAUCUUUUGAAGACGAGAAGUUUCAUUGUGAACAUUGUAAUGGAAAACUAGAAGUUGAAAGUGAUAAGUUAGAUAUUCAAGAAGGGGAGAUGGAUAUGUGAUUACCACAUAAUAUUUUACAUUUUCCAAUUCGAUUCACUUAACACUUGAUGUUAUUUUGUCACAUUUUUGUAGUGUUAUGUUGGUAGUUUGUGUUUGUUUCAGGUACUUUAAAGGUAGAAGCCGGUACGCAAGAAAACGGGUGAAACGGAGAAGAAAUGAAGAAAAUGUACUGGUGGCGACCUCCGUGGUGUUCGCCAUGACGUGACAGCCAUGAAUCGCCACCCACCUUGAAGAAAUUGCAAAAAAAUAGACCUUGAAGUUGAUGGUGUGCGCCAUGACCCCUAGUCAACCCACAUUCACCAAGUUAUCACUCAUGGCGCUUGUCAUGAGGUCAUGGUGUACGCCAUGGGCUUUAGGAGCUGAAAAAUGGCAACUGCAUGGAAUGAGUUUCUACCACUUCCCCUACCUUUCUACCACUUCCUUAAUACGAAUUUUGGACAGUUUCUACUAGUUAUAACACUAUAUAAAGCCAUGUUUUUUAGGU